GACGAACGCUGGCGGCGUGCCUAAUACAUGCAAGUCGAACGAGAGCGGCCGGUGCUUGCACUGGUCAAUCUAGUGGCGAACGGGUGAGUAACACGUGGGUAACCUGCCCAGCAGAGGGGGAUAACAUCCGGAAACGGAUGCUAAAACCGCACAGGUCUUCGAGCCGCAUGGCUUGAAGAGGAAAAGAGGCGCAAGCUUCUGCUGAUGGAUGGACCCGCGGUGCAUUAGCUAGUUGGUGAGGUAACGGCUCACCAAGGCCGUGAUGCAUAGCCGACCUGAGAGGGUGAUCGGCCACAUUGGGACUGAGACACGGCCCCAACUCCUACGGGAGGCAGCAGUAGGGAAUCUUCCGCAAUGGACGAAAGUCUGACGGAGCAACGCCGCGUGAGUGAAGAAGGUUUUCGGAUCGUAAAACUCUGUUGUUCGAGAAGAACAAGUGCUAGAGUAACUGUUAGCGCCUUGACGGUAUCUAACCAGAAAGCCACGGCUAACUACGUG
rnacentral:rRNA from 1 species